AUUGAACGCUGGCGGCAGGCUUAACACAUGCAAGUCGAGCGGGGUGAUGGUGCUUGCACUAUCACUUAGCGGCGGACGGGUGAGUAAUGCUUAGGAAUCUGCCUAUUAGUGGGGGACGACAUCUCGAAAGGGAUGCUAAUACCGCAUACGUCCUACGGGAGAAAGCAGGGGAUCACUUGUGACCUUGCGCUAAUAGAUGAGCCUAAGUCGGAUUAGCUAGUUGGUGGGGUAAAGGCCUACCAAGGGGACGAUCUGUAGCGGGUCUGAGAGGAUGAUCCGCCACACUGGGACUGAGACACGGCCCAGACUCCUACGGGAGGCAGCAGUGGGGAAUAUUGGACAAUGGGGGGAACCCUGAUCCAGCCAUGCCGCGUGUGUGAAGAAGGCCUUAUGGUUGUAAAGCACUUUAAGCGGGGAGGAGGCUCUUUUGGUUAAUACCCAAGAUGAGUGGACGUUACUCGCAGAAUAAGCACCAGCUAACUCUGUGCCAGCCGCCGCGGUAA
rnacentral:rRNA from 1 species